AGUGAACGCUGGCGGUAGGCCUAACACAUGCAAGUCGAACGGCAGCACAGUAAGAGCUUGCUCUUACGGGUGGCGAGUGGCGGACGAGUGAGGAAUACAUCGGAAUCUACUUUUUCGUGGGGGAUAACGUAGGGAAACUUACGCUAAUACCGCAUACGACCUACGGGUGAAAGCAGGGGAUCUUCGGACCUUGCGCGAGUGAAUGAGCCGAUGUCGGAUUAGCUAGUUGGCGGGGUAAAGGCCCACCAAGGCGACGAUCCGUAGCUGGUCUGAGAGGAUGAUCAGCCACACUGGAACUGAGACACGGUCCAGACUCCUACGGGAGGCAGCAGUGGGGAAUAUUGGACAAUGGGCGCAAGCCUGAUCCAGCCAUACCGCGUGGGUGAAGAAGGCCUUCGGGUUGUAAAGCCCUUUUGUUGGGAAAGAAAAGCAGCAGGUUAAUACCCCGCUGUUCUGACGGUACCCAAAGAAUAAGCACCGGCUAACUUCGUG
rnacentral:rRNA from 1 species